AACCAACAGGGAUUGCCCUAGUAACGGCGAGUGAAGCGGCAACAGCUCAAAUUUGAAAUCUGGCUCUUUCAGAGUCCGAGUUGUAAUUUGCAGAGGGCGCUUUGGCUUUGGCAGCGGUCCAAGUUCCUUGGAACAGGACGUCACAGAGGGUGAGAAUCCCGUACGUGGUCGCUAGCUAUUGCCGUGUAAAGCCCCUUCGACGAGUCGAGUUGUUUGGGAAUGCAGCUCUAAAUGGGAGGUAAAUUUCUUCUAAAGCUAAAUACUGGCCAGAGACCGAUAGCGCACAAGUAGAGUGAUCGAAAGAUGAAAAGCACUUUGGAAAGAGAGUCAAACAGCACGUGAAAUUGUUGAAAGGGAAGCGCUUGCAGCCAGACUUGCUUGCAGUUGCUCAUCCGGGCUUUUGCCCGGUGCACUCUUCUGUAGGCAGGCCAGCAUCAGUUUGGGCGGUGGGAUAAAGGUCUCUGUCACGUACCUCUCUUCGGGGAGGCCUUAUAGGGGAGACGACAUACCACCAGCCUAGACUGAGGUCCGCGCAUCUGCUAGGAUGCUGGCGUAAUGGCUGUAAGCGGCCCGUCUUGAAACACGGACCAAGGAGUCUAACAUCUAUGCGAGUGUUUGGGUGUCAAGCCCGAGCGCGUAAUGAAAGUGAACGGAGGUGGGAACCCGCAAGGGUGCACCAUCGACCGAUCCUGAAGUUUACGGAAGGAUUUGAGUAAGAGCAUGGCUGUUGGGACCCGAAAGAUGGUGAACUAUGCUUGAAUAGGGUGAAGCCAGAGGAAACUCUGGUGGAGGCUCGCAGCGGUUCUGACGUGCAAAUCGAUCGUCAAAUUUGGGCAUAGGGGCGAAAGACUAAUCGA
rnacentral:rRNA from 1 species